ensembl:snRNA U6 U6 spliceosomal RNA
GUGCUUGCUUCAGCAGCACAUAUUCUAAAAUUGGAAUGAUACAGAGAAGAUUAGCAUGGCCCUUGUGCAAGGAUGACAUGCAAAUUCGUGAAGUGUUCGAUAUUAAA